rnacentral:lncRNA from 1 species
GAGCAUCAUACAUAAUUGGAAAGACUGGAAAGCAAGGAUGUCCACUUUCAGAACUCCUUGUCAUCAUCAUUGUGCUGGAAUGAUUAGUAUAAAGAAAUAAAAGACAUAAGAUUGGAAAAAAGUAAAAUGAUUAAUCUCACAUGGAAUGAUUAUGCAGAAAAUCCUAAGAAAUGUAUAGAAAAGUCAACCUACAGAAAUCUGUUUAUCUUAUUUCUAUGUGAUGGCAGUCAACAUUUAGAAAUUGAAAUUUAAAUCAAUAUCACUUAGAAUAGCAUCAAAACAUGAAGUGAGCUGAGCACUGUGGUGCACACCUGUAAUCCCAGCGACUCAGGAAGCUGAAACUGGAGGAUCCCAAGUUCAAAGCCAGAUUCUGCAACUUAGCAAGACCCUGUCUCUAAAUAAAAUAUAAAAAGGUCUGGGGAUGUGGCUCAGUGGUUAAGCACCUCUAGGUUCAAUCCCUGGUACAAAAAAAAAAAAAACAAACAAACAUGAAAUGGGGCUGGGGUUGAG